GAUGAACGCUGGCGGCGUGCCUAAUACAUGCAAGUAGAACGCUGAAGGAGGAGCUUGCUCUUCUGGAUGAGUUGCGAACGGGUGAGUAACGCGUAGGUAACCUGCCUGGUAGCGGGGGAUAACUAUUGGAAACGAUAGCUAAUACCGCAUAACAGUAGAUAUUGCAUGAUAUCUGCUUGAAAGGGGCAAUUGCUCCACUACCAGAUGGACCUGCGUUGUAUUAGCUAGUUGGUGAGGUAACGGCUCACCAAGGCGACGAUACAUAGCCGACCUGAGAGGGUGAUCGGCCACACUGGGACUGAGACACGGCCCAGACUCCUACGGGAGGCAGCAGUAGGGAAUCUUCGGCAAUGGACGGAAGUCUGACCGAGCAACGCCGCGUGAGUGAAGAAGGUUUUCGGAUCGUAAAGCUCUGUUGUAAGAGAAGAACGAGUGUGAGAGUGGAAAGUUCACACUGUGACGGUAUCUUACCAGAAAGGGCGGCU
rnacentral:rRNA from 1 species